rnacentral:lncRNA from 1 species
CACACACAAAUACAGGAGGCUGCCGGCGAAACUCUCCCGCAGCCACAAGAGUCCCGGGGCCCGCGCGCAGACUGCGAUCCAGCUCCGGCUCUUGCCCUGCGGAGGCUCCGCGCGAGAACCUGGCUCCACCCGGGACCGGCCAGGUCCUAGCCCCGAAGGGACUGGACAGCCGAGGGACGCGGACUGACCUCCCUGCGGCGAUGCAGCCCACAGCCGCCGGGGAGGAAGCUCCGCGGGGUCCAUGGGUGCCGGGGUCACGGCCCGGGGCGCGCGGAGCCACCCAGACCCCGCGACCCGCUCUUCGGAUAGCAGGGACCGGGUCGGGAAGACCUUCGCGGACCCUGCAGAGGCGGGAGACCCUGCGCCGUGCCCGGUGCCCCGGCGGCCAGCGGGUCCGGGUCCCCGCCUGCUACGCCCAAGUCCGUCCGGCUCCACGGGCGCCCCCGGCCCGCCGCGCCCUGCAGCCCCUCGCCCGCCCUCCCGGGGCUCACUCACGUAGACUGCGUCGAUGUCGGAUCUGUCGUAGAAGCGGAGCGCCCCACUCAGCUCCAGGGCAGGAGAGACGAAGUCAUCCCCGUCCUCCAGCUCCAGGUCCCCCUGUCCGGGGCCGAAGGGAAAGAGCUCCUGGCGGCUCAGGCAGCCCACAGGCCCCGCCAGCAGCAGCGGCAGCAGCAGCGCCCGCGUCCACGCAGCCCGGAUCCGGCUGCUCGAGGCCAACAUGUUCCCGAACUGCGGUCCCGCAAACCCGGUCCCGCGGCCAGGACAGAGGAAGGCGGGGAUGUAACCGGACGCCCCUGGCAGCCCCCUCUCCUCCCGCCUCCCGGCGUUCCCACCCCGGGAAAUAGGGGAGGGGAGCGGAGGGGAGAGCGGAGGGCCCCGCCCCGUCCAGCGGGCGCGCCGCGGGGCAGCCCAAUGGCCGCGAGGGGGAGGGCGAGGGGCGAAGCCGAACCUCCCGCCUUGGGCGCCGGUGCCUGCGAUUCUCGAAACCAGCCCGACUCCCAGCGAACGGCGCCUCCGGGAGGGGGAGCAGAGCGCGGGACCCGCACCGUGGUCCUCUGAUUAGGGUUGGGUCGUGGAGAGCCGGCGACGUGGAAACGCUCCGGAUUCAGGAACGGCGCCCACCCCAUUGCCGCUCGGCCGCGUCCGGGGUCCAAUUCGCUUGACCCUGGUAGGAAGACGGGGUGGGAGCUGGGAAUCAGCCAAGGGACAGAGCCACCAACACGUUCAUGGGCUCAUCCACCCAUUCAUUGCGCGUUUUUUGAGUGCCUGAUCCUGUGCUCCCUAUUGUGGAGGUUCGCCAGGAAACGGGGUCUCACCCUCCGAGGCAAAGUCACCAGUGUACAACACAAGCCAGUGUCAGAUGGGGGCCCCAAGUCAUCAAAGACAUUAGGGCUGGAAAAACUGGCGGGGAAAGCUGCAGGUGGGACGGCGGGAAUCAACCCGGGUGCUCUGGAAGGAAUGGGAUGUCAUCAGGCGGCAGAGAAGGGAGGUGGAGGACCGAGCUGGGUUUAUUCAGGGCACCAUCCCCCAGCAGAGGAUGUGGGGAGGGACCGGUUGAAGUACAGCCUUGAAUCACAAAUUUAGGAAUUUGAAUUCGCUCUGUCACUCGGAGAAGAAACUAUUGAAAGUUCUUGACAAAGGGAGAUAAGCGAUUUAAGUGGUAUCCUGAAUAAUCGGUUGAUCGUUACUUUGGCACUAGGGUGAAAGUAGAGACAGGUAAGUUAUUAGAGGACCAAGUCUAAAACAUUGAAAUGAAAGAAGGAGCAAAUCCUGAUUAUAAGAUUGGCAUUGAAGAGGAGAAGAAACGAAGUUAAAAUUGAGUUCAAGGGUUUGCACUUGGAGGACUGGAAAACCAGUACUGCCUUUUGACGUCAGGGAAGAGGAUCUGGGACAGCUGGAGUUGGAUAUGUUUGAUGUCAGACCUAUCAGCGGUCAACAGGACGUCCCCGUUUCCUGUCAGCAGCUAAAAGUAACGACCUUGAACCUAGUUUAUAAUAAUUUUUCAGAAAACAGCAAAUUCUGUAUAAAAUUUAGGGGGCAUGAGUUCUGAACCAGCAAAGACAGGAAGAAAAAGCAAAGGAAACAUGCCUUCUAAGCAAAACACUUUUGAUUUACUCAUG